UACGUAGGGUGCAAGCGUUGUCCGGAAUUAUUGGGCGUAAAGAGCUUGUAGGCGGUUUGUCGCGUCUGCUGUGAAAUUUCGGGGGCUCAACCCCGAACUUGCAGUGGGUACGGGCAGACUAGAGUGUGGUAGGGGGAGACUGGAAUUCCUGGUGUAGCGGUGAAAUGCGUAGAUAUUGGGAGGAACACCAGUGGCGAAGGCGGCUCACUGGACUGGUACUGACGCUGAUGCGCGAAAGCGUGGGGAGCAAACAGG
rnacentral:rRNA from 1 species